rnacentral:lncRNA from 1 species
AGGAAUGAGCUACACUAGCCCAGUAAAGAUGUCACACUAUCUCACUAUUACAGUAGUAAAAGUUGGUAGAAAAUAAAAACGACCAAUGGAGUAUAAUUGAUAACAAAUUCAUUUAUCAAUAAAAAAAUCCUUUACUGUCCACUUACCUCGGUGAGAUUCAUGAAAACAAUUUAUGAAAACAAUAACAUUAUAAACAUCAUAAGAUCAUGCACACUCUGUAACAUAACACAUAUCAUACUUUUGUAUUUCAAUCAUCAGGCAACAAAUUUCUUCUUUUAUCAGCCUACUAGUAUCCAUGGGGAUCCAUAGGGGUCCCCGCUACAUGUGAACCAUUCACCUUAAUUCUAGGGC